ACAAAGUACAAAAUGGCAAUAAAUACAUAUCUAUCAAUAAUUAGUUUGAAUGUAAAGGGACUAAAUGUUCUAAUCCAGAAGACACAGGAGGGGGGCAUGUGGGACU